rnacentral:lncRNA from 11 species
GGCGUGGAUGAUGGGUUGUGUUGUCAAAUUUCGAGGUUGGGGGGCCUGUAGUUUUGUUGUUUUGUGAGUCGCCGUGAUGCCAUCUCUUUUAUAUAUAUAGAUAUUGUGGUAUAUACUAUACCACUAUAUGGCAAUAUUAUUAGUCACCCUGCUCUUGCACGAAAGGGCAGAAAAAGCACAGAUAUUUGAGGCGUUGACCCUUGCGGCCUGCAAACACCCGUUUGAGGGGCAUGAAUCGACUUGUCCCGAUGCUUUUGCAGUGGCUUGGCUGCGUGUUGUCGUUGUGGGGGAGAGAAAAGACCCAAAACACAGCGUUGAUGCUUCCGUAUGAAAAUUGGAAUAAGCUGGAUGGCCAUAAAACUCAUGUUCUGCAGCUCUUUAACGUCUGGUAUUAUCGGAUUUUCCAUCAAAUAGGUGAGGCAGGAUUUACGCUGCCGAUAAAAGGACAUGUGUGGGAGCAGGCGACACCGAUAAAGCCUCUUCCCUUCCUCCGCCGCCCGGGGUCUCGCCCGCCUCCUCCAUGAAGCAACCCGAAGCCUGAUGUCCUCCUUGCGCCCCGCCAUGGAGGCGGGAAAGAGCUGCCACUCAACCACCACAUACACGCACCAGCAGUCGGGCAACACGCUCUACGGGAUGCCCGCUCUCCCUGCCCAGCUGGGCCUGCCAGCCAUAGAGCCCACUUGUCGAUGGAUGUCAGGAAUCAGCAGCAUCCACCGCGGUCCUUUUUAUCCUGGGCGACGACCGAGCCAGUAUAGACUUCGUUUGGGUUUGAUUCUCCAUAAUGCUAAUGGGUUAGGUGCUCUUGGUUGUGCAAAAUGCAGACUGUGCAAGGAAACCGACGAAACCAUGGAUCAUAUCCUCAGCUGCUGUAAGAAAAUCGCACAGACAGACUACAAACAGAGGCACAACUAUGUGGCCCAAAGGAUUCAUUGGAACUUAUGCCUCAAGUCCCACCUCCCAGGAGCAAAGAACUGGUGGGAUCACAAACCUGCAAAAGUAUUGGAAAAUGAGCAUGCAAAGAUACUGUGGGACUUCCGAAUCCAAACUGACAAAGUUCUGGAACACAACACACCAG